rnacentral:misc_RNA from 1 species
GCAGAGUAUUAUCAGAUGAUAUAGCUAGAGCUGAAACUGUAUCAACAUGAUGAACCCAUGUACAUUUCUUAUGUCUACGAAUUUCAACGUAGUUUUUCGCGCUGAAUAAUCUCAUACACCGAUCAUUCAGCGUCGGUAGAGUAGCAAUGCAUUUGUAAUUACUUUGAUUAUGAUCGUGGUUGUCGAUUUUCCAUACACGAAUUUUAUGAUCUUGGUGAGCAGUGAAGAGUUUAUCCCCAAAAAUAACUAUAGAUUUAACAGAGCUCUUACUCUGUUUUUGAGCUACUACUACGGAGUGAUUUUUCUCUUGGUUCCGUAGAAGGAUUUCGCCGUUGGAAGUUCCGGUGUAGAGAUGUUUUCCGGCGAGUGAUAGGCAGAAAACGGAGGAGGAAAGGCCAGUAAAAGUGGAUGCACAGAAGGUGUUUGAUAAAAGUUCUGAAUGAGUUGAAACUGGAGUUAAAGAAGGAAUUGAUGGUAAACUUGGCUGUGAGUAAAGGCAAGAAGAUGAUCUGGAUAAUGCUAAUGAUGAAUCUGAGUAAAUUUGGUGAAAUUCAUCAGAAUUUGUUGAGUUUUGCUUGGAUGGAGAUGGCAAUGGACAUGGAAUUUUACCCAUUUUCUUUUGCUUGAAAAAAAAAAAUGGUUAGAAACAGUUCAAAUUUAGAGAUGAAUGAAUCUUGCUUUGUUUUUUUGUUAGCUAUAUUUUUA